rnacentral:lncRNA from 1 species
AUCUUCCACUUGUCAGAUUUUGUUGAAAUCAAUCCAAGUCCUUUGUCUUGUCUUGCUAUUUGCCUCUAUCAAUGGCCUUUACCUUCAAUAUACAGUGAUUGGUUACCACAAUAUGAAAUCAGAUAGUUUGAAUCUUAACCACAUAUCAGAAUCAAGCUCCUUUCAUUCGCUCGUGUACUUAUAAAUUGACGCAGGGCGGAAUAUCAAAAGUAGACGAACACGUCUAUCUCUAAACAAUAACCAGAAUCCACUAGGUUCCUUGAAUCCACAAAGAAAUAAGAAAAGAAAAUACUCUGAAUUUUAUUAAUGUCAAAACUGAUUUGCCCGAAGGGCUUACAAUAUGCUUAAAUAAUCACUAGAAACCCUACUUUGUGUUAAUCACACGGAAUUAGGCCAAGAAAAUCAAACAAAUAGGAAAAUUACUCGAAAGGAAAAUUUGAAUUAAUUACCGAAAUAGCUACUACUCUAACUUAGGAAACAUGUCCCACAAACGGAAUUAAAUUUGGACUUUUAAAUAAAAGUUAUAGGGCAUAAAAACAAUAGUUACUAAAACGCAAAAUUGCCUCUUUUGUGGGGCAAACUAUGGAAUUUCCGCCGAAAACCGCGGGGCUCAUGGCCGAAAGGCGAUGAGUUCUGAUCCUCUCGACGACGAUUCACCAUCAGACUACCGAAUAUCACACAAUUCCCGUCGUUCGUGCCCGUGAUUCCUACUAUCACUUUUCCUUCUUUCCGGAUUUCCUACGAUGCUUGUUGCUCAAAAGGAAAGCUUGGGCUGUCCUUUUCUAAGCAUCAUCCCCUCCUACUUGAACUACUCGCACCACGAGUUCCCACUAUUCACACAUCAUCGUCUGGAGGUAAACUCAUACAAUCAGCAACAUAAAUGUAGAUAAAUACCCAUUAUCCGCGGCAGUGCCAAACGACAUAGGCAUUUUAUUGAUCUUCUGCUCACAAUCUGAAACGGGAUCUGAAACGGCCAUACUUCUUGUCUUGCAGCUUAUUAUAAGUUCCACCAGCUGGAAAACGCUGCCUUACGGAGUAGCCAUCACCAAUCCCCUUCAUUAAAAACUUCUCUCCUUCUCUCGCGUCUUCUUGUCGCCGCUGGCCCUUGUAUUUUGCCAUUGGAGGCUUCAGUCGUUUGUCGAACUUCAUCUUGCCUAGUCUGGAUGCGCUCAGCCAUGUCUCAGCUGGCACGACUGAUAUGAGGGAGCUCCGGUAGGGUCCAGGUCCUAAUGCGUGCUUGGUGGCCACAGUAUAACGGAUAGCAAACGGUGGGACGGGGACUGGCCUGUGCUAUCGGUUUAAACUUACUGUUGUAUGCCAUUCCGGCUUGGGAUAGCGCGAGAUCCACUGUUUGGGGCUUUUCACCAGAGAUACACCGGAUAAGUUACCCAAAGUUCGGUGACUACUCUGUCUGACAUCUAUUGAGGGUGGCGGGUAACUGCUAUAAUUCAAGUGAGUGUCAAAACGCUUCCAUAAAGUCCUUCCAAAAGUGACUGAGGAACUUCGUACUCACGAUCAGAAUUUUUGGGUUUGGUUCAGAAGUGAUAGACUGGGCACACCAUGCAAGCGCAACCGACUCCUUAACGAUAAUUAGCAACUCGAGUAGCAAUCCGACGUUUUUCUACAGCCCCUAUAAAGUGUGCCAUCUUUGAAUAUCUCAUCAACACCACAAAGACGGAAUCCAUACCUCGCUGGGUCCGGGGCAGGGCCCAAUAUAAAUCCAUAGAUAGGUCCUCCUCCCAAGCGGUCUUUAAAGGAACUGGUAUGUGGCAUAUAAAAGGCCUGUGUUUGCGCUGCCCCUUGGCGUCUGACAUAUAGGACACUUCCGCACUGAUUUUCCCACAUCUCGCUUAAUGGGGGCCAAUAAUAACGCUCUUCCACUAGGGCCACAGUUUUAUCAUCCGUUCACCAUGUCCUCCCGAUCAAAUCCCCCACCAUUGCAUUCCCGAUAACUUGCUCCCGCAUACGAACUUUUCCGGAUACAUAUUGGGUUUCCCUCGAAAUAAAACCCAUCUUGGGUAGGUGCAACCCUUCAAUGGCUGUUUGAGUCCUUCUGACACUUUUUUCCCCAUUCUUAUCCAAAGUCUUUUAUCCUCUCUCGUACAACUCCUUCAGACAAUCAAACCAACCACUCUCUGUUCGCAAGGUCACUAGUAAUGAUGCUCUCCCGACUGAGGGCGUCGCGCCACUUUAUUAAAAUGCCAGACUUAUGUUCAAUGAAAAGAGAAUCGUUGUAUAUAGGCUACCCACCAGAGCAUGCAUCCGGUUGAUAGCAGUCUGACAUUGUAUGAAUUUCAGGGCCUGAGAUCCGUGAAAUAAGACAAACUCCCCUCUGGACUAGGUAUGCUCCCAAUGGCCUAAGGAUCUCACCACUGCAUAUAUUCUAACUCAUAACGCGGACCCUGCGUCAUGCCGUGCUUCAAGCAAAGUCUUCUCACGAAAAAGGCACGGCUUGCCCUCUUGUGAGAGCACAUCGCUCCAACACCCCACUACUGACAGGCUCACAUCAACUUGAAACAGCUUCUAAAGUUGGGCAAAGCUAGACUGGGUUGCAGUACUCACCCACUCAGGCUUUUCUUCUUUGAUGACUGCAAAACUAUGUUCUGCUGCUUCUCCCCAUGAGAACUUCCCUUUCUUCAAUGCAUCUCAGUGAUCGGGGCUACUAUACGCUAGUAAAAUUCCGAAGCAAACCUCCUUAGAAAGUUGCUAGUCCAUGAAAGCUCCUUACGGUCGCUGACUGUUUUGGGGGAUGGCCACUAACUCCCUGAUAGCUCGCACCUUAUCCUCGCCACAUGAAUCCCCGUCAGCACUACAAAAACGACGUAACCCCAGAACAACCGCUAUCAGUCAGGCAAACUGCACUUCUUCAUUCUUCAGGUUGACGUACAGCUUAUUGGCGGAUAGGAACCGGUCAGCAGCACCGUCUCGAACAUGGUUAUAGUUGAUCGGAUUCAUUCGACUAUAAAUCAAUAUAUCAUCAAAAUACACAACUAUAAAUUUGCCGAUAAAAAGGUUUUUAAAGCACCGAUUCAUGAGUCUCAUAAAGUGCUUGGUGCGUUGGACAAUCCGAACGGUCAUCACCAUCCGACUCGUAAGCCCUUCCUUGUCUUCGAACGCCGUUUUCCACUCAGUCUCCAGCUCGAAUAACGGAUCUGAUGGUAGCCACUUUUGAAGAUCAAAGCUCGAAUAAUUUUUUGAACCCACUCAGCAUGUCAAACAUAUCAUCCCAAACGCGUAAAACAGAAUUGGAAAACCUGUACUUGACUGUAUCUUAUUGAUGGCGCUACUGCCACCACAUACGCCAACGUCUUCCAUCCUUCUUUGGUGUUAAUUAGGGCUGGUACGGCAACAUGGACUCAUGUUCUCCUCCCUAUCUGCCCUUUUCUGACUAGUCCUCCACUUGCUCUUGUAGAAAUCUGACUCUCCUUAGGACUCAUCCAUAAUGGGGAAGGUUGGUCCAGCCCUUGCUCCAGGGACUAAAUCUAUACAGUGCUGAAUAUCCCGCAUAUGGCAACCCCGCAGGUAACGUCGUCAGGGACAAAUGCUGGAACUCUUUGAUCAGAGGUUUACUGCACCGAGACUUCUGGAGGGAUUUUGGGUGUGGGGGGUUCUGUGCGGUGUAGUACCAUCGCAAAAAUCUGGCUUGGAUUCCCCUGGCUCUUUGGUCGAACUCGUCCUCAUUCUGAACCAGCAAGACAGAUGGAUUUUCCUCCCUCUUAUGAACCUAGGAUUACUACUCUCCUUGAGCGGGUACCGAGGACGACCUUCCUAUCUUCUGAUGAAUACGUAACGUUUGUCUUUUUCCCCUUAUGCCAGCAUCCACAUCAUGUUGCCAGGGCCCUACCCCAAAAGAAGUGACACGCACCAUACAACCACUUCACCACUUCGCACAACACUCUUCGUCAACAUAGUAUUUUCCCCCAAUAUGAAAACUUUAUUCGGGCAAGUAUCAGUUACCUUAACUUCCACUCCUUUCUUAAUCCAGCCAAUCGUGUAUGGGUCCGGGUGCUUCUCUGUUUCAGACCUAACUUUGUAACCAAAACUCUUCGAGGCAUGUUCUCAUCCUCUCCCUGCCCCGUCUUUAUCACUGAUGAGAGCACAGACCCUUGUUGAUGGGUACAGUCAUAGCCCACCGCCCUCGAAAGAUCUGUGUGGCGCUGGCUAGAUCUACUCUCUUAGGUGUCCAGCACAACUUUUGGGAUCAUAAAUAAAGAGAUUGACCCAUUACUCACCCUCUUCGUCAUCUUGAACUCUUGUAGGGUCAUAAGAAUAGGGUCGACAUCACCCUCUUCAUCUCCAUCCAUCCUCCUCCCUGGUUACUAUGGCUCCACUAGGUUCACUGUUGCCCUCUUUGGACACGUAUUCGAGCGUUCCAUGUUCAACAACACCCAUCUGUAGCACUUAUCUCCUGAGGCCUUGGCGUAUGGAUUGAGGUUACCCCCUUGACGUGUAGUUGAUCCUUUGUUACGGUACCUUCUUCUACUCCCCGCACUGUUUGUCAUCGAUUGGGACUAGCGGAGAAGGUACUCGGCUGUUUUUCCCCUAUUUAGAAAACUGGGAUCUGGUGUUUGUCCCGAUUCUGUUGGGAUUCACUUUCCUGGCUAACGUCACCCCGGCUUCAUUUAUGUUGAAGCAUAGCUUGUAGGAUACCUGAUCCUCGAAUCGGCUACUCUCUGAAGCCCAUGUCACAAAUCUGCAAUCUGCUGAUCCUCUGAUUCUGGCAAUUGUUGCGUUGCAGACAGUCUGUAAAAUUCCUCCGUAUAGGCCUCACGGUUCGAACCCCCUGGCCUACACUCCUGAUAUUGCUUGAACAAACAACUCUUGUUGACUAAUCGGUGGGUGAAAUCGCUCUUCCAUCACUUCCUCAUCCUUCCCACGUACGUAUCGUGGCCUUCCCUUCCCUUCCUCUGACGGGCUCGACUUUGUUGAAGGGGUUGUUCCCACAUGCUGAUGCUCCCCCCUUUAAUAAUUUGUAUGCCACACUAGUUUGACUUGCUUUU